rnacentral:rRNA from 1 species
AUUCUUCGGAUGAAGGUCUGGUGACUGAGUGGCGGACGGGUGAGUAACGCGUGGGUAACCUGCCUUAUACAGGGGGAUAACAGUCAGAAAUGGCUGCUAAUACCGCAUAAGACCACAGCACCGCAUGGUGCAGGGGUAAAAACUCCGGUGGUAACAGGAUGGACCCGCGUCUGAUUAGCUGGUUGGUGAGGUAACGGCUCACCAAGGCGACGAUCAGUAGCCGGCUUGAGAGAGUGAACGGCCACAUUGGGACUGAGACACGGCCCAAACCCC